CUGACUUGGAUAACAGAAUGGUAAACAUUGUCUAUGAAGAGCAUUCUGGAAGCACUGACACGGAUAACAAAUUGGUGCUCUUUUCAUAUGCUGCUGAAAGCUAUAAGUAACCAUCCAUGAGAGAGGGAAGGCACGCUUUUCUGGAUUGAUCUUGUAUUCGGCUUAGGGCUGGGCCUGAGUAAGUUUCUUCUGAGAAUUCUCUGGUGUAAUUUGUCUUUGUAAUAGCCAUUACUGGCUGAACUAAGUUU
rnacentral:misc_RNA from 1 species